rnacentral:lncRNA from 1 species
UCCACAGACACUUGAAGACUCGCACCACAAGCCAUGGAAGGGUGGGUGCCACUGCUGCCGUGCACAGGGCUGCGAUUCCGGGGUACCUCACUGCAGAGGUGCUGGAGCUGGCAGGCCUAUGGGUGAUAGUGGCUUUAAAUGUUUGGCUGAUUCUGUCUGGAUCUCCUUUUAUUGAUAAUUCCAGGAACUUGCUUGGCCCCAAGUGUGGAAGGCUCCAGCUUCCUUCCCCGCCGCAGGAUCCUAUUACUUCUUUGUUCUGUUUGAACUCUGCAGACUCUAAAGUGAAGUGAGUCGGUGGAAAACCUGGCUGGAUCUCAAGAAUACAGCCUGCGUCUGAGUCCCAUGAAUCUCCCCGCAGCUUAAGGCCUCCUGUGAGCAGAGCGGAUACUGUAAAGCCCUCUCAAAGACACUAAUAACUAGAAGUGGGACUGUAGCUCCAAAGUGGCUUUUUUUUCCCCUUUCCCCCGUGUAACUUGCUGGAA